GGGGGCGUAGCUCAAAUGGCAGAGCGCUCGCUUAGCAUGCGAGAGGUACCGGCAUCGAUACCCGGCGCUUCCA
rnacentral:tRNA from 1 species